rnacentral:rRNA from 1 species
UACGUAGGGGGCAAGCGGUUAUCCGGAAUCAUUGGGCGUAAAGCGCGUGUAGGCGGUUCCGUAAGUCCGCUCUGAAAGCCCAGGGCUCAACCCUGGGAGGCGGGUGGAUACUACGGAAACUGGAGUACGGAAGAGGAGAUUGGAAAUUCCUGGUGUAGCGGUGAAAUGCGCAGAUAUCAGGAGGAACACCAACAGCGAAGGCAGAUCUCUGGGACGUUACUGACGCUGAGACGCGAAAGCGUGGGGAGCAAACAGG